AUCUACCCGACAGUGGGGGAUAACCCAGGGAAACCUGAGCUAAUACCGCAUGUUGCGCCGGCUUGGAAGCCGAGCGUUAAAGCGGGCCUCUCAUUGAAGCUCGUGCUGUCGGAUGGGCUCGCGGCCUAUCAGCUUGUUGGUGGGGUAACGGCCUACCAAGGCGAUGACGGGUAGCUGGCGUGAGAGCGCGACCAGUCACACUGGGACUGAGACACGGCCCAGACUCCUACGGGAGGCAGCAGUGGGGAAUAUUGCGCAAUGGGCGAAAGCCUGACGCAGCGACGCCGCGUGGGGGAGGAAGACCUCAGGGUUGUAAACCCCUGUCAGGUGGGACGAACCCCGGAUCGAGUAAUACACGGUCCGACUGACGGUACCACCAGAGGAAGCUCCGGCUAACUCCGUGCCAGCAGCCGCGGUAAUACGGGGGGAGCUAGCGUUGUUCGGAAUUACUGGGCGUAAAGGGCGCGUAGGCGGUCUUGUAAGUCGGGUGUGAAAUUCCGGGGCUCAACCCCGCGAACUGCAUCCGAUACUGCUCGACUUGAGAGAGGUAGGGGCGAGUGGAAUUCCCGGUGUAGCGGUGGAAUGCGUAGAUAUCGGGAAGAACACCGGUGGCGAAGGCGGCUCGCUGGACCUUUUCUGACGCUGAAGCGCGAAAGCGUGGGGAGCAAACAG
rnacentral:rRNA from 1 species